AACGAACGCUGGCGGCAUGCCUAACACAUGCAAGUCGAACGAGACCUUCGGGUCUAGUGGCGCACGGGUGCGUAACGCGUGGGAAUCUACCCUUGGGUUCGGAAUAACUCAGAGAAAUUUGAGCUAAUACCGGAUGAUGUCGCAAGACCAAAGAUUUAUCGCCCAAGGAUGAGCCCGCGUAGGAUUAGCUUGUUGGUGAGGUAAAAGCCCACCAAGGCGACGAUCCUUAGCUGGUCUGAGAGGAUGAUCAGCCACACUGGGACUGAGACACGGCCCAGACUCCUACGGGAGGCAGCAGUGGGGAAUAUUGGACAAUGGGCGAAAGCCUGAUCCAGCAAUGCCGCGUGAGUGAUGAAGGCCUUAGGGUUGUAAAGCUCUUUUACCCGGGAUGAUAAUGACAGUACCGGGAGAAUAAGCCCCGGCUAACUCCGUGCCAGCAGCCGCGGUAAU
rnacentral:rRNA from 1 species